GGCGCGAAACCUCCGCAAUGUGAGAAAUCGCGACGGGGGGAUCCCAAGUGCCAUUCUUAACGGGAUGGCUUUUCAUUAGUGUAAAGAGCUUUUGGAAUAAGAGCUGGGCAAGACCGGUGCCAGCCGCCGCGGUAACACCGGCAGCUCUAGUGGUAGCAGUUUUUAUUGGGCCUAAAGCGUCCGUAGCCGGUUUAAUAAGUCUCUGGUGAAAUCCUGCAGCUUAACUGUGGGAAUUGCUGGAGAUACUAUUAGACUUGAGAUCGGGAGAGGUUAGAGGUACUCCCAGGGUAGAGGUGAAAUUCUGUAAUCCUGGGAGGACCGCCUGUUGCGAAGGCGUCUGACUGGAACGAUUCUGACGGUGAGGGACGAAAGCUAGGGGCGCGAACCGGA
rnacentral:rRNA from 1 species